rnacentral:rRNA from 1 species
AGCGUACACGGUGGAUGCCCUGGCAGUCAGAGGCGAUGAAGGACGUGCUAAUCUGCGAUAAGCGUCGGUAAGGUGAUAUGAACCGUUAUAACCGGCGAUUUCCGAAUGGGGAAACCCAGUGUGUUUCGACACACUAUCAUUAACUGAAUCCAUAGGUUAAUGAGGCGAACCGGGGGAACUGAAACAUCUAAGUACCCCGAGGAAAAGAAAUCAACCGAGAUUCCCCCAGUAGCGGCGAGCGAACGGGGAGCAGCCCAGAGCCUGAAUCAGUGUGUGUGUUAGUGGAAGCGUCUGGAAAGGCGCGCGAUACAGGGUGACAGCCCCGUACACAAAAAUGCACAUGCUGUGAGCUCGAUGAGUAGGGCGGGACACGUGGUAUCCUGUCUGAAUAUGGGGGGACCAUCCUCCAAGGCUAAAUACUCCUGACUGACCGAUAGUGAACCAGUACCGUGAGGGAAAGGCGAAAAGAACCCCGGCGAGGGGAGUGAAAAAGAACCUGAAACCGUGUACGUACAAGCAGUGGGAGCACGCUUAGGCGUGUGACUGCGUACCUUUUGUAUAAUGGGUCAGCGACUUAUAUUCUGUAGCAAGGUUAACCGAAUAGGGGAGCCGAAGGGAAACCGAGUCUUAACUGGGCGUUAAGUUGCAGGGUAUAGACCCGAAACCCGGUGAUCUAGCCAUGGGCAGGUUGAAGGUUGGGUAACACUAACUGGAGGACCGAACCGACUAAUGUUGAAAAAUUAGCGGAUGACUUGUGGCUGGGGGUGAAAGGCCAAUCAAACCGGGAGAUAGCUGGUUCUCCCCGAAAGCUAUUUAGGUAGCGCCUCGUGAAUUCAUCUCCGGGGGUAGAGCACUGUUUCGGCAAGGGGGUCAUCCCGACUUACCAACCCGAUGCAAACUGCGAAUACCGGAGAAUGUUAUCACGGGAGACACACGGCGGGUGCUAACGUCCGUCGUGAAGAGGGAAACAACCCAGACCGCCAGCUAAGGUCCCAAAGUCAUGGUUAAGUGGGAAACGAUGUGGGAAGGCCCAGACAGCCAGGAUGUUGGCUUAGAAGCAGCCAUCAUUUAAAGAAAGCGUAAUAGCUCACUGGUCGAGUCGGCCUGCGCGGAAGAUGUAACGGGGCUAAACCAUGCACCGAAGCUGCGGCAGCGACGCUUAUGCGUUGUUGGGUAGGGGAGCGUUCUGUAAGCCUGCGAAGGUGUGCUGUGAGGCAUGCUGGAGGUAUCAGAAGUGCGAAUGCUGACAUAAGUAACGAUAAAGCGGGUGAAAAGCCCGCUCGCCGGAAGACCAAGGGUUCCUGUCCAACGUUAAUCGGGGCAGGGUGAGUCGACCCCUAAGGCGAGGCCGAAAGGCGUAGUCGAUGGGAAACAGGUUAAUAUUCCUGUACUUGGUGUUACUGCGAAGGGGGGACGGAGAAGGCUAUGUUGGCCGGGCGACGGUUGUCCCGGUUUAAGCGUGUAGGCUGGUUUUCCAGGCAAAUCCGGAAAAUCAAGGCUGAGGCGUGAUGACGAGGCACUACGGUGCUGAAGCAACAAAUGCCCUGCUUCCAGGAAAAGCCUCUAAGCAUCAGGUAACAUCAAAUCGUACCCCAAACCGACACAGGUGGUCAGGUAGAGAAUACCAAGGCGCUUGAGAGAACUCGGGUGAAGGAACUAGGCAAAAUGGUGCCGUAACUUCGGGAGAAGGCACGCUGAUAUGUAGGUGAAGUCCCUCGCGGAUGGAGCUGAAAUCAGUCGAAGAUACCAGCUGGCUGCAACUGUUUAUUAAAAACACAGCACUGUGCAAACACGAAAGUGGACGUAUACGGUGUGACGCCUGCCCGGUGCCGGAAGGUUAAUUGAUGGGGUUAGCCGCAAGGCGAAGCUCUUGAUCGAAGCCCCGGUAAACGGCGGCCGUAACUAUAACGGUCCUAAGGUAGCGAAAUUCCUUGUCGGGUAAGUUCCGACCUGCACGAAUGGCGUAAUGAUGGCCAGGCUGUCUCCACCCGAGACUCAGUGAAAUUGAACUCGCUGUGAAGAUGCAGUGUACCCGCGGCAAGACGGAAAGACCCCGUGAACCUUUACUAUAGCUUGACACUGAACAUUGAGCCUUGAUGUGUAGGAUAGGUGGGAGGCUUGGAAGUGUGGACGCCAGUCUGCAUGGAGCCGACCUUGAAAUACCACCCUUUAAUGUUUGAUGUUCUAACGUUGACCCGUAAUCCGGGUUGCGGACAGUGUCUGGUGGGUAGUUUGACUGGGGCGGUCUCCUCCUAAAGAGUAACGGAGGAGCACGAAGGUUGGCUAAUCCUGGUCGGACAUCAGGAGGUUAGUGCAAUGGCAUAAGCCAGCUUGACUGCGAGCGUGACGGCGCGAGCAGGUGCGAAAGCAGGUCAUAGUGAUCCGGUGGUUCUGAAUGGAAGGGCCAUCGCUCAACGGAUAAAAGGUACUCCGGGGAUAACAGGCUGAUACCGCCCAAGAGUUCAUAUCGACGGCGGUGUUUGGCACCUCGAUGUCGGCUCAUCACAUCCUGGGGCUGAAGUAGGUCCCAAGGGUAUGGCUGUUCGCCAUUUAAAGUGGUACGCGAGCUGGGUUUAGAACGUCGUGAGACAGUUCGGUCCCUAUCUGCCGUGGGCGCUGGAGAACUGAGGGGGGCUGCUCCUAGUACGAGAGGACCGGAGUGGACGCAUCACUGGUGUUCGGGUUGUCAUGCCAAUGGCACUGCCCGGUAGCUAAAUGCGGAAGAGAUAAGUGCUGAAAGCAUCUAAGCACGAAACUUGCCCCGAGAUGAGUUCU